AGCGCUUACCAGAUUUUGAAAUAUUGGGAUUGAAGAAGAAUGGGCUAGGUAAAAAUCAUCUGUCUUGAAACCAGCCUCGAACUCCAUGGUUUUCCAUGGCACGACAAUCUAUAACUGGAUCAAUGUAUCAAAAGGCAUGGCAUGGGCUUGGAUGGAUAUCGUGGAGGCAUCAGAUGGUCGGAGUGCUCGACAAGGGGUGGCUGCAUGGCUAGCAAUUAGCAAGUAAUCUAUAAUUUCUUUGUUAUUAUAUUUUUGAUUUGUUCUAUAUAGUACUUGAUUCAUGUUUCCCGCUUUCCACUGUUUGUAAUAUGAAUCAAGCUCCUCACGUAUAUAUGUUUCUUGCAUAUUUUUCUUAAGUAUAAUAUGAAUCAAACUCCUCAAAUAGAAAA